rnacentral:misc_RNA from 1 species
UCAGAAAUGGAUCAACGACUCGGGUAUAAGUUUUUGGUACCUGAUCCUAAAGCCGGAGUUUUUUAUAGACCGUUACAUUUCCAAUAUGUAUCGUAUUCUAAUUUUAUAUUGCAUCGAUUGCAUGAAAUCUUGACCGUCAAGCGGCCACUCUUAUCGUUUAAGAAUAAUACAGAACGAAUUAUGAUAGAAAUUAGCAAUGUUAAAGUGACUCCUCCAGAUUACUCACCUAUAAUCGCGAGUAUUAAAGGUAAGAGUUAUGACGCAUUAGCCACGUUCACUGUAAAUAUCUUUAAAGAGGUAAUGACCAAAGAGGGUAUAUCCAUCACUAAAAUAAGUAGUUAUGAGGGAAAAGAUUCUCAUUUGAUAAAAAUUCCGCUACUAAUAGGAUACGGGAAUAAAAAUCCACUUGAUACAGCCAAGUAUCUUGUUCCUAAUGUCAUAGGUGGAGUCUUUAUCAAUAAACAAUCUGUCGAAAAAGUAGGAAUUAAUCUAGUAGAAAAGAUUACAACAUGGCCAAAAUUUAGGGUUGUUAAGCCAAACUCAUUCACUUUCUCGUUUUCCUCCGUAUCCCCUCCUAAUGUAUUACCGACAAGAUAUCGCCAUUACAAGAUAUCUCUGGAUAUAUCACAAUUGGAAGCGUCGAAUAUAUCAUCGACAAAGACAUUUAUAACGGUCAAUAUUGUUUUGCUAUCUCAAUAUUUAUCUAGAGUGAGUCUAGAAUUCAUUAGACGUAGUUUAUCAUAUGAUAUGCCUCCAGAAGUUGUCUAUCUAGUAAACGCGAUAAUAGAUAGUGCUAAACGACUUACCGAAUCUAUUACUGACUUUAAUAUCGAUACAUACAUUAAUGACCUGGUGGAAGCCGAACACAUUAAACAAAAAUCUCAGUUAACGAUUAACGAGUUCAAAUAUGAAAUGCUGCAUAACUUUUUACCUCAUAUGAACUAUACACCCGAUCAACUAAAGGGAUUUUAUAUGAUAUCUUUACUAAGAAAGUUUCUCUACUGUAUCUACCACACUUCUAGAUAUCCGGAUAGAGAUUCGAUGGUUUGUCAUCGUAUACUAACAUACGGCAAAUAUUUUGAGACGUUGGCACAUGAUGAAUUAGAGAAUUACAUAGGCAACAUCCGAAACGAUAUCAUGAACAAUCACAAGAACAGAGGCACUUAUGCGGUAAACAUUCAUGUACUAACAACUCCCGGACUUAAUCAUGCAUUUUCUAGUCUAUUGAGUGGAAAGUUCAAAAAGUCAGACGGUAGUUAUCGAACACAUCCUCACUAUUCAUGGAUGCAGAAUAUUUCUAUUCCUAGAAGUGUUGGAUUUUAUCCGGAUCAAGUAAAGAUUUCAAAGAUGUUUUCUGUCAGAAAAUACCAUCCAAGUCAAUAUCUUUACUUUUGUUCAUCAGACGUUCCGGAAAGAGGUCCUCAGGUAGGUUUAGUAUCUCAAUUGUCUGUCUUGAGUUCCAUUACAAAUAUACUAACGUCUGAGUAUUUGGAUUUGGAAAAGAAAAUUUGUGAGUAUAUCAGAUCAUAUUAUAAAGAUGAUAUAAGUUACUUUGAAACAGGAUUUCCAAUCACUAUAGAAAAUGCUCUAGUCGCAUCUCUUAAUCCAAAUAUGAUAUGUGAUUUUGUAACUGACUUUAGGCGUAGAAAACGGAUGGGAUUCUUCGGUAACUUGGAGGUAGGUAUUACUUUAGUUAGGGAUCACAUGAAUGAAAUUCGCAUUAAUAUUGGAGCAGGAAGAUUAGUCAGACCAUUCUUGGUUGUGGAUAACGGAGAGCUCAUGAUGGAUGUGUGUCCGGAGUUAGAAAGCAGAUUAGACGACAUGACAUUCUCUGACAUUCAGAAAGAGUUUCCGCAUGUCAUCGAAAUGGUAGAUAUAGAACAAUUUACUUUUAGUAACGUAUGUGAAUCGGUUCAAAAAUUUAGAAUGAUGUCAAAGGACGAAAGAAAGCAAUACGAUUUAUGUGACUUUCCUGCCGAAUUCAGAGAUGGAUAUGUGGCAUCUUCAUUAGUGGGAAUCAAUCACAAUUCUGGACCCAGAGCUAUUCUUGGAUGUGCUCAAGCUAAACAAGCUAUCUCUUGUCUGAGCUCGGAUAUACGAAAUAAAAUAGACAAUGGAAUUCAUUUGAUGUAUCCAGAGAGGCCAAUCGUGAUUAGUAAGGCUUUAGAAACUUCAAAGAUUGCGGCUAAUUGCUUCGGCCAACAUGUUACUAUAGCAUUAAUGUCGUAUAAAGGCAUCAAUCAAGAGGAUGGAAUUAUCAUCAAAAAACAAUUUAUUCAGAGAGGCGGUCUCGAUAUAGUUACCGCAAAGAAACAUCAAGUAGAAAUUCCAUUGGAAAACUUUAAUAACAAAGAAAGAGAUAGGUCUAAUGCAUAUUCGAAAUUAGAAAGUAAUGGAUUAGUUAGACUGAAUGCUUUCUUGGAAUCCGGAGACGCUAUGGCACGAAAUAUCUCAUCAAGAACUCUCGAAGAUGAUUUUGCUAGAGAUAAUCAGAUUAGCUUCGAUGUUUCCGAGAAAUAUACCGAUAUGUACAAAUCUCGCGUUGAACGAGUGCAAGUAGAACUUACUGACAAAGUUAAGGUGCGAGUAUUAACCAUGAAAGAAAGAAGACCCAUUCUAGGAGAUAAAUUCACCACUAGAACGAGUCAAAAGGGAACAGUCGCGUAUAUCGCGGAUGAAACUGAACUUCCAUACGACGAAAAUGGUAUCACGCCAGAUGUCAUUAUUAAUUCUACAUCCAUCUUCUCUAGAAAAACUAUAUCUAUGUUGAUAGAAGUUAUUUUAACAGCCGCAUAUUCUGCUAAGCCGUACAACAAUAAGGGAGAAAACCGACCUGUCUGUUUUCCUAGUAGUAACGAAACAUCCAUCGAUACAUAUAUGCAAUUCGCUAAACAAUGUUAUGAGCAUUCAAAUCCGAAAUUGUCUGAUGAAGAAUUAUCGGAUAAAAUCUUUUGUGAAAAGAUUCUCUAUGAUCCUGAAACGGAUAAGCCUUAUGCAUCCAAAGUAUUUUUUGGACCAAUUUAUUACUUGCGUCUGAGGCAUUUAACUCAGGACAAGGCAACCGUUAGAUGUAGAGGUAAAAAGACGAAGCUCAUUAGACAGGCAAAUGAGGGACGAAAACGUGGAGGAGGUAUCAAGUUCGGAGAAAUGGAGAGAGACUGUUUAAUAGCGCAUGGUGCAGCCAAUACUAUUACAGAAGUUUUGAAAGAUUCGGAAGAAGAUUAUCAAGAUGUGUAUGUUUGUGAAAAUUGUGGAGACAUAGCAGCACAAAUCAAAGGUAUUAAUACAUGUCUUAGAUGUUCAAAACUUAAUCUCUCUCCUCUCUUAACAAAAAUUGAUACCACGCACGUAUCUAAAGUAUUUCUUACUCAAAUGAAUGCCAGAGGCGUAAAAGUCAAAUUAGAUUUCGAACGAAGACCUCCUUCGUUUUAUAAACCAUUAGAUAAAGUUGAUCUCAAACCGUCUUUUCUGGCAUAAUAUUGUUUAGUAGAUACUCAUCAAUAUCAUCAAGUUUAUCAAGAUCAUCAAGAUAAGCUAAUUCACUAAACACAUUUUUGGAUUCGGUAUUGUUACUCGCAGAAUAGAGUUCGCUAUAAUCCUGAUAUUCGGAAAUCUGUGGAGUUUCAGGUUUUGGUGGAGGUGUAACAGCUACUUGAGAUACCGAAGUCUGAUAUUCAGAAAGCUGUGGAUGUUCUGGUUCGGCAUCCACCGAUGGUGUUACACCACUACUAAUUGGUUCAGUAACGUCGGACGAUGGAGGCACCACUUCUACAGGUUUUGGUUCUGUAUCCUCAGUCGUCAACGGUUCUACUUCAAUGCGAGGAAAUGUAUAAUUUGGUAAUGGUUUCUCGUCUGGAUCUGAAGAAGAGGUAAGAUAUCUACUAGAAAGAUACCGAUCACGUUCUAGUUCUCUUUUGUAGAACUUAACUUUUUCU